rnacentral:rRNA from 1 species
AUAUACGACCAUAUCACAUUAAAUACAACGGUUCUCGUCCGAUCAUCGAAGUUAAGCUACGUCGAGCCUAGUUAGUACUUAGAUGGGUGACCGCUUCUGAAACGUAGGUGUCCUAAACG